AUGAGCGAUUUCCGGCCAAUCAGUCUCAUCCACUCUGUCGCCAAGCUGUUUUCAAAAGUCCUGUCCAUUCGCCUCGCCAACGUCAUCGACAAGCUCAUCAGCCUAGCGCAAACAACUUUUCAGAGGAGGAAGUGCAUACAAGACAGUUUCCUAUAUGUGCAGAACACGAUCAGAAAAUUGCAUCACAGCAAAACCCCGGCGCUAUUGCUGAAGCUUGACAUAGCUAAGGCUUUCGACUAUGUUUCUUGGGAAUAUCUGUUAGAACUUUUAGAGGUGCUCGGAUUUCCCCCGCGAUGGAGAGACUGGAUUUCUCUUCUGUUAUCGAUGUCGUCCUCAUCUUGCCUCCUAAAUGGGGUGCCAGGAGACUGCAUUGAUCACUUUUGA
rnacentral:rRNA from 1 species